UACAGAGGGGGCAAGCGUUGUUCGGAAUUACUGGGCGUAAAGGGCGCGUAGGCGGCCUUCUAAGUCGAACGUGAAAUCCCCGGGCUCAACCCGGGAACUGCGUCCGAUACUGGAAGGCUUGAAUCCGGGAGAGGGAUGCGGAAUUCCAGGUGUAGCGGUGAAAUGCGUAGAUAUCAGGAGGAACACCGGUGGCGAAGGCGGCUAUCUGGACAGAAACUGACGCUGAGGCGCGAAAGCUAGGGGAGCAAACAGG
rnacentral:rRNA from 1 species